GUAGGGAAUUUUCGUCAAUGGGGGGAACCCUGAACGAGCAAUGCCGCGUGAGUGAGGAAGGUCUUCGGAUCGUAAAGCUCUGUUGUAAGAGAAAAACGGCACUCAUAGGGAAUGAUGAGUGAGUGAUGGUAUCUUACCAGAAAGUCACGGCUAACUACGUGCCAGCAGCCGCGGUAAUACGUAGGUGGCGAGCGUUAUCCGGAAUGAUUGGGCGUAAAGGGUACGUAGGCGGCCAGAUAAGUCUGGUGUGAAAGGCUGCAGCUCAACUGCAGCACUGCACUGGAAACUGUCCGGCUGGAGUGCAGAAGAGGGCGAUGGAACUCCAUGUGUAGCGGUAAAAUGCGUAGAUAUAUGGAAGAACACCGGUGGCGAAGGCGGCCGUCUGGUCUGGAUUCUGACACUGAAGCACGAAAGCGUGGGGAGCAAAUAGGAUUAGAUACCCUAGUAGUCC
rnacentral:rRNA from 1 species